rnacentral:misc_RNA from 1 species
AGAGAUGACAUAAUGGCCGAUAAGCCUGCAUGUGUGAAGCAUGGAGCAAUGUAGAAUUGUCAUUCCGGGCCAUUCAAGACAAGAAAUCGGUUCUAAUUGCAAUGUUUGGAGAGAAAUAGCUCACAGUGAACUGGAGGGAAUGUGACAGCUCAUUGAUGACUGACACAUACUGGAGGAGCUUCGAGCCGGAAGAGAAAGCUCCAAGUGACUGCCCACAUAUUUAUCUGAACUGAGGCUGAUGCAUCAGCGAUCAGCGUGUGUGUUGUUAUGGUGUAGAAGGAGUGCAGUCACAUCUCAUUGUAAUGGGGACAUGUUGUGUUUGAACUCACUGUUAUGGAAGAUAUUGAAGUGUGUUAUAAGAACACGAGUACAGGGGAGAAUGUGAACCUGUUUUGGGACGAGGUGCCCAGUUCAUCCCUGGAUGAGGAGGAUGACCUUCCAUGGUAUGUUUACAUUUGUGAAGGGGAUCCUCUGGUUGUAAGGAAGACUGUCAAUGACUUUUAAUGUCAGCGUUAUGAUGAAAUCUUAUAAAGUCAAGAAUAGACAGAUAGAUAAAGGUUGUUUACACCUGCAGACACUAAUUUGUUUGCUUUAUUUUGUCACCAAGAAACAAGGUGGCUGAGCUGUUUAUCUUUCUGAUUUAUUGUCUUUGAGUAUGCAUGUUUUUAGUAGUUUAUAUGGCACUUGUAAUGGUCUAAUAAUACUUUACUAGCGUGAUAGGGAAAAUCAAUGUCUAUAGGAGUCGAGUACUUCAAAUUUUUUGUUUUGUGCAAAAUCUGAGAUUGGCAGAUUCUCUGCUCUUGUUGGUUAGUUUGUUAUUUUUGGAGGGUAUGUAUUUAUUAUAGCACUGAAGCAUGUGUGCAUUUUGUAAAUUGAAGCACAGGAAAAUGUAUGCAUCAUAAUUAAUGAUGACGAUGUGUGUGUAAUAUUUUCUCAUAUGAAUUAGUUUAGACUGCUCUUUGUGUUUAAAAUUUGUCAAGUGUUUACACAUGUUCCCGGCCUCUCUAGCUUGUAAAAGCAGGAAACUUCUAGGAAAAAGCAGUUUUGGGAUUAUUAAACAAGGAAAUAUU